UUUAUUACAAGAUUAUUACGGCCCAGAACUUUUAAUAAGAAAAAACAAUAAUACGUCAGAAAACUAAAAAUUACUUCCAAUGAGAGCCUGAUUGAGACAUCCUGUCUGGAGCAUGAAAUGAACCAACUCCAGACAUUAAAUUCCAAAAGCAUUUCUCUUAUUUGGGAUGUGUUAGAGUUCCCUAAGAGUCUCAAAUGGACUCCGGCAGUGCUCACACCCAAAUAUAUCACAUAAUUGAAUCAUAGUGCAGUGUGGAAGGGCCAGCCCUCAAGUGUCCAAGUUCAGAGGGAACUCAAGGUCCCAAAGCAAGGCUCACAGGAGGGGGGCCAGAACUUAGAAUCUUAAAGAGUAUAAGUGAAUAGAGGAAUUCUGAGAGGGAGCAGAGUGAGGCGAAUGGUUAUACCUAGCAAUUGAAAGUGCUGGCACAUCCCACCAGCUUGUUAGGACACAUCGAUUGGGAGUUAGGAUCCCCAUAACGGAUCAAGUCCAACAUGAGCAAUAACUUGCAUGUUUCCAUGUUCUAAACUUCAACUCAAACCACAUGAAGAGAACAUGGGUGCAGAGAUUCACAUAAGAAACAUAUGCAAAGAAAUUAACAUGCUAAUUAACAUAGAACAUAGACAGUAAAGUAGACAGGGGUGCAAAGGCUAUAAAAUAAACACAUUGGGAUGAGACUGAAAACCAAAACUAGAACAUACCAGUUUCAGAAAAACAAGAAAAGAAAGCAGUAGUCUUGUAAAUCCAAAGUGCAAGCAAGUAGUCUGAAUAGUAUGAUUUAAGAGGAGAACUAUAAGAUUGUAAGAGUCUGAAGUGUGUAAUGUGUGUUGAAUGUGCGGAAGAAUCGUGCCCUUUUAGUGUAGAAAACAAGCAGGAAAGUGAGAAAAUAGUUUGAAAUCAAUUACACAAGGUUUCGCUUUAAUUAAGGGAUUCUGAUUUCAAACGGGUAAACUAGUUAAGGAAGGGGAUUAAUCAAACACUUCCAGAUGGGUAAAUACAUAGAGGUAUGUUUAAGAAAAAAGUCUUGAUAGUUCACGGUUUGUGCAAAUAAGUCAAAGGAAUCAAUUAACAACUUGUGAAUCAGAAAUUGAAGAUUUUGCAUGAAUGAACCGGGUCACAAAUAUGGUCAAGAUUUUGACUUAUGAAAAAUUAGUACCAAUGAAUUAGACUUAUUAAAAGGAAUUCUGAAUAAAUCACAAGUUGGAAAACCCCUUUGAAGAAAAAUUCCUCAUAUAUAAAAGCAUACAGACACGUUAAACAUGAAUAUAUUUGUCGUGCUAUUCAAUAGAAAAGUCUAGUGUAAGGGAAUCAGGAUUGUGUGCAAACAAGAGAAAUUCACACUUAGUUCAUAGACUAAGAAAUAAGUAUGAAAGAGUCCAGGGUUCUCAAACAGAACCCAAGUCCGAUUAUAUGCCCAAACUUAAAGGAGACCCCCGAAAUUAUAGGGUUUCUGAUUUGAGUUAAAUACAGAGAUGAGGAGGCAACAUGCUCAGAGAUUUCUUUUCAGAAUAUCAUGAGAAGACAAGCAAACACAAUAGAAAAUGAGCGAAAAGAGUGAAGAAACUAACUGAUAGCAAAAAUGAGAGAACGGCAUGGUAGUAGAAGAAACAUGUUUAAGAAAAACCUUUUAGAAGGGACUUAAACAAGGUUCAAUAGAAGUGAAAGCAAUAACACUUAAGACCACAAUAGAAGAUAUAGUAGAAGAAAGUGCUUUUCAUAAGGAACUUAGCCAAGGUACGGAAGAGAAGAAAGAUAGUGUAACACCUAAGAAAACAGUAGUGGAAAUACGUUUAAAGGGGUAUUUUAGAAGAAUUCAAGCUAAGUUCAAUAGAAGGAAACAAAACUUAAAAACUCGGUAGGAAAUACAUAUAGCAGAAGAGCACAAAAUACCAAAAAAGUAUAGCAAAAGAACAUAAAGGAAAACACAAUAAGAUAAACAUGCGAGCAUGGUAUAGAAACACAGUAGAAAAACAAAGCACAGAAGAACAUGUAUAGUAGAAAGAAAGCAUAAGAAAGCAGUAGAAGCACACGCGUGACAAAAACACACAAAGAAAGGAAAAGAAAUGUCGGAGAAGCAUUUUUAACCUUUCAGAAAAGCCUAAAUCGAAGAUAAGUGAUUUUAAAAGAUAAUUUUUGAAAGAAAGAUUGGGGAAAUUGUUUAAAAACCCAAGUAGAGCACAUAUAUGUGAUAGAUCUAAGAAAAAUCAGAGAGAACCUCGGGUAUUCAGGGUUUCAGAAGAACCCUAGAAUGAGAAAGGCUUGGAAAAGAUCCCAUCUGAGUCGGAUAGGUCGGAACCAGGCUCAAAACCCCAUAGUGUGCCGGAGAUAUCCAUAAAACCAUGAAUCAGUGGAGAUAUGAACGUACAACAUCGAGGUCAGACCUCGAACCUUCGAAUACACAGUGUUUAAGAGCAUAGAGAUGAGUUUAAGCCAUCUAUGGUUUGAGAGUCCACGGAUUCCAGUGAGAUUAAGGUUGAAAAUGGUGAGAGAUUCUAGGGCUUUGAGAGUGUUUGAGAGGAGAGGUAUUUCAG
rnacentral:lncRNA from 1 species